CACACUUCUCUAUUUCCGAUCUCUGUCGCCGUCGUGCGCACAUGAAGCGAGCUGACGGUCGCGAGUCUCCUCGGGCGGUGCGCGCCAUUCACGUCGCCACCAACGUGCUGGCCAACUGCCACAGCAGUGCCUGUGUCGAGAUUGGCAAGACGCGCGUCCUGUGCGGUGUUCGCCCGCCGCAGCAUCUGGUUCAGGAAUACCGCGGCACGCGCGGACGUGUCAGUUGCCAAGUCCACCGCAGCUUGGCCUCCUCGUCGAACCUUGACAACUCUGGUGACCGCGACAUGGCCCUUGCGCUGGAGGGAGUCGCAGAGCAAGCCGUGGUGCUGGAGCGCAUUCCACAACUGCUGGUGGGGGCCCUAAUUGAAGUGGUGCACGACGACGGGGCUGUAUGGGAUGCCGCAACGACGGCCUUGUGCGUCGCUCUCACGGCAGGUGGCGUGGAGGUCUACGACACCUUUUCGGCGUGCAGCGCCGCAUUGCGGCGCGAUGGUGCCAUAAUUGUCGACCUCACGCGAGAAGAGGCGGCGACGGCGAUGGCGAGCGUGGUAGUGUGCAGCGGCCUCUCCCUCGGCGGCGUGUACUACUGCUGCCACAAAGGCGCGUGUGAGGCAACAACGAUGAGCCAGCUGGUGCAGGCGGCGACGAAGGGGCUGCAGGUGCGCAAGGUCCCGCUCUUAGAACAAAUCCGGAACCAACUAGUCUAGCCUGGCAUGUCUACGUAGGGCUGGUGUGUGUGUGGUGGGGGGGGGAAGGGGGAGGAUUGCGGACGUGGUGCUGCAUCCACGACUAUUCAUGGAGCCGAGGGAGCUUUCGCUGGGUCACGCGUGGACAACGCUGUGUUAACCGCACGAGUAAGAUAAACCGGAAACGAAAAAAAAGUAACGUCCUUGCUCCUUCCCCAAUCUUUCGUGCCGCAGCGACGACAAAAAGAGGCACAGAUGGCCUGCCAGGAGGUGUGCACGUGGCGCAGCUCCUCUGCGUGCAGGUCCACCGGCGAGCGUGGUUGCGUUACUCUCUCUUCUGACACCUUCGAGCUGGAGGCUCGACGGAGUCCUUGGUGUUGCUUGUUACUGAACGGAGAGAGACGACGAAUGAGGGCGCGCGUCUUUUCUCGGAUCGGGCACCGAACUCGCUGUCAUGGUGUGCACCACGUGAUGCGCGAUUUUCGGCUUUUUCGCCUGGCGUUCUGGUGUCUUUGCUGCUGGACGUUGCUCUUGUUGCCCCUCACCUCUCCUGUUUCUCUUUGUGCCCCAAG
rnacentral:misc_RNA from 1 species